GGAAGCGCGGGCUCCGUGCGCCGGUGGUUUGUUCGGACCCUCUCCUGGGCCGGGCCGGUGCCGCAGUCUCCGUGCGAUCCGACGCACUUCCUCCCGCCCCUUGGACGCCGCAGCCGGUUGGGUCGCUGCGCGAGUCGGCCAUAAGGACGGGCACCGGAAGGUGGCCGGUGGCGUUCCUCGUGUUCGUCGCCGGUCGUUAUCCAGCCCGCCCGUGGCGCGACACCCGACCGAGGUCGAAGGUCCCGGUUAGGACCUUGCCGUCCCCUCCCCCGUGGUCGAGCAGGAGCGCCAGCAGGCGAUUCCCCGUCCGGUCGUCUCCACUCUCCGAGUGGGCGGUCGCCGGGUGACGCCGUUGGCGAGGUGUCUUCCUGCGCGGGGUUGUUUCUUCCGGCGGCUAGCGGCGAGUAGGUCGGUCACCCACCCGACCCGUCUUGAAACACGGACCAAGGAGUCUAACAUGUGCGCGAGUCACGGGGUCUUGCUUAGGCCCAGAGGCGCAAUGAAAGUGAAGGCCGGCCUCGACGCCGGCCGAGUUGGGAUUCUCCGCCCUCGCGGCGGGGAAGCACCAACGGCCCGCCCUGUCCGAUUCAUCGGUUGGGCGGAGCGUGAGCGUACACGUUGGGACCCGAAAGAUGGUGAACUAUGCCUGG
rnacentral:rRNA from 1 species